GGGUUAAGGAGGGAAGAGUGCCUUAGGGGAAAGGAGGAGGCGGGGUUAAGGAGGGAAGAGUGCCUUAGGAGAAAGGAGGAGGUGGGGUUAAGGAGGGAAGAGUGCCUUAGGAGAAAGGAGGAGGCGGGGUUAAGGAGGGAAGAGUGCCUUAGGAGAAAGGAGGAGGUGGGGUUAAGGAGGGAAGAGUGCCUUAGGAGAAAGGAGGAGGUGGGGUUAAGGAGGGAAGAGUGCCUUAGGGGAAAGGAGGAGGUAGAAUUAAGGAGGGAAGAGUGCCUUAGGGGAAAGGAGGAGGCGGGGUUAAGGAGGGAAGAGUGCCUUAGGGGAAAGGAGGAGGCGGGGUUAAGGAGGGAAGAGUGCCUUAGGGGAA